rnacentral:rRNA from 1 species
UGAACGCUGGCGGCGUGCCUAAUACAUGCAAAUCGGGCGAACAGACGAGGAGCUUGCUCCUCUGACGUUAGCGGCGGACGGGUGAGUAACACGUGGAUAACCUACCUAUAAGACUGGGAUAACUUCGGGAAACCGGAGCUAAUACCGGAUAAUAUAUUGAACCGCAUGGUUCAAUAGUGAAAGACGGUUUUGCUGUCACUUAUAGAUGGAUCCGCGCCGCAUUAGCUAGUUGGUAAGGUAACGGCUUACCAAGGCAACGAUGCGUAGCCGACCUGAGAGGGUGAUCGGCCACACUGGAACUGAGACACGGUCCAGACUCCUACGGGAGGCAGCAGUAGGGAAUCUUCCGCAAUGGGCGAAAGCCUGACGGAGCAACGCCGCGUGAGUGAUGAAGGUCUUCGGAUCGUAAAACUCUGUUAUUAGGGAAGAACAAAUGUGUAAGUAACUAUGCACGUCUUGACGGUACCUAAUCAGAAAGCCACGGCUAACUACGUG